UAGUUCGUGGAGUGAUCUGUCUGCUUAAUUGCGUUUCAAAUUCUAUUGUUGAGUACCAGGUCCUAAGAGUUUCAAGCAAAUCUGUCUCUGAGUGUGAACUGUAUGUCUUCGGAUAUGCGACUAUCGCUCUAGACAACUAUGAUCUGCUUGUAGCCUCUGGUACUCUUUUGAACGCAACGGACGUGAUUGCAACCCCUUGUUGAGUUUGCUUCUCUUAGGAACUCUACGUCUGCUGAACCACCUACCUUAGCGGGUAGGUGGUGAGGUGGAUAAACUCGGGGGACUGCUGACUAUAACCAUUUCUCAAAACAGAGGAAGGUUGCGGCAAUAACAGGUCUGUGAUGCCCUCAGAUGUCCCGGGCUGCACACGUGCUACAAUGAGUAGCGCAGUGUGCACAUUUUGAAGAGUGAUAGGUGCUGGGGAUUGUAUAUUUCAUGGGCUCGUCCUGGUAACCAACCGCCCCCAGCAUCUAUCAACCUUCCCUUUACAGGGUGGGUAACCUCUUCGAAAUGCUGGUUUGAUUCUCUUAGUGUUUGUCAUUUUAUUCCUCGUCGCAGCUGCUCUAGGACAUAGUGAACACUGUAAAGUGAUUCCCGUCUUAGGCUUGUGACGCGUGCUUUUCCUGGUUGACUCAUC
rnacentral:rRNA from 1 species